GCCUUAUCAAGAGCGGUGGAGGGAAUAGGCCCAAGGAAACCCGGCAACCGGUAGCAAUACACGGUGCUAAAUCCUACAGAUCACGUAAUCUGAAAGAUGAGGA
rnacentral:ncRNA from 1 species